rnacentral:rRNA from 1 species
UACGAAGGGGGCUAGCGUUGCUCGGAAUCACUGGGCGUAAAGCGCACGUAGGCGGAUUGUUAAGUCAGGGGUGAAAUCCUGGAGCUCAACUCCAGAACUGCCUUUGAUACUGACGGUCUUGAGUCCGGGAGAGGUGAGUGGAACUGCGAGUGUAGAGGUGAAAUUCGUAGAUAUUCGCAAGAACACCAGUGGCGAAGGCGGCUCACUGGCCCGAUACUGACGCUGAGGAGCGAAAGUGUGGGGAGCGAACAGG